GAAUCACAUACAGAAGACAGAGUACUUUGCACAUUUUACAAAGAAUAAGCCAUAGUCUCUUUCCUCUUUUAAGUUUAAAUAUUUAUUUCACAAUUGCAUUUAAUUAACUACAUUGGCAAAUACAUCCUAACAGCAAUGCAAAAGCUGAUUUCAGAUGAAAAAAAAACAAAAACUUGUGAAAACAGUAUGAAAAACAAAUCAAUUCAAAAUGGUUAUUUCAAGAGAAAAAAACUUAACAAAGCCAUUGGUCAGCUACCUCUUAAAAUGGGUAAAGGCAAAAUAAAUUAUACUAAGAAACCGUAGAGAACUAUUAAACAAUAUUCUACUAUUAAACAGUAUUUAAAACACUAUUUGUCAUUUUUAAAAAUAAGAUAUUGCUAAUAAAUACUGAUACAGAGAAAUGUCUAAGAUAAAUUAAGUUAAAAAAACUGAAAAGGCACGGACAAUAAAUAGAAAACAUGCUCCCCCCCCCAAAAAAAUGCAUUUAUACACACAGGAAAAUAGAGGUACACACACACACACACACACACACACACACACACACACAAACCUAGCACAAUAUAUAACAAUCCCACAGGAGAGUGGAAUUCUAAAGGGCUUUCACUUUCUCAGUUAUAUAUAUGUCUGAAAUGUUUAAAAUUUUUUAUCUAAUUUUUAAAAGAUUUUUUUAAGACUUAAAAGGCAAAGGAAAAGAAAACCUCACCAACAUUAGAGAUGGAAUCUUAAUUUAAUAUCCAUCCCAUUAAAGUCAAUAUAGGAAGAACGUGAAAAUAAAUGUAACACAUAAGAAAAAAAAAACACGUAAUAAACGCUUGAAAUACACAUCCACUAGAGUAACUUUGAGACCAAUGCCAUCUUGUGGCAACCAACAGAAGUGUUUUCCUACUUAAAAGCCAAAACAACCACGAAACCUCUGUUCAGUAAAUCAUCGAUGAUGUUUAAAUGUAGACCAUAUCAUACAUACCAAAAAUGCAGCUCAAAUCAGACACAGAAGAAGGCUUAGAAGCUGUUUUGCUGAGUGGGCAUGUUUCCUGGGAAACGCACUAGGAAAAAUGUCCACCCAGGUCUACUGCCAACUCUGGCAACUACCAGCCCGUGGCCUGAAGCGUGCUUCUCUGGUUUUGUCCUUGCAAGUCAAGGGAGGAAGUUAUCCCAAUCGCUACCAUUGCUUCCUUCCAAUGCCAAAAAUAGGAUCAAACCCACAAGGUCACCAUUCCAGGUCCUGAACAGCUAUUCCAGUAUGUGUGCCAGGCUCCUCUUGCCACGACAGACUCCCACAUACAGUGUGAUGUACCCACCUGCUCACACACCAAACCUCAAUGCGUCUCACGGUUCUGUGCUCUGGGGCACAGUCAGCUCUGCCCCUAGGGUCGCUUUAUGUCAUCUGCCCUGCGAAGCAGCCUCAGCACCACUCUCCACACUCCUCUCAACAGUCAAUGCUUCUCCUCUCAGCUCACACGACACUGACCACAUAACCAGCAAGACCAACCAGAGUUUCCAAAUCAAAAACCGGGACCAGUAAUCUGACAAAAAACUAAGCUUAUGAGGGCAAAUAGGUAAAGUAUUUGAAAUCAUAAACGAUCCAGAAAAGCCUAACUAUAAACAAACACUUGCAGAAUCUACUGCAUCUCAGGUACUGUGCCUGGGCUCUGGAUACAGAGCGCCGCCGCCACCCUCUCACCCUGCCUGUGAGCACCUAGCAUGAAAGCUACUCAGAAAAGGCCGAUGCAGGUCAGGUCAAUGCUGGCAAGGGGUCCCCAAGGGAAGGCCAGAUCGAAAAAGAGCAGUAGUGGUCAUAGCUUGCAGACCUCCUGAAGUGCCCUUCAGAUUAAAGUGCCGUUUCUCAAAAGUCACCUUCCGAAGCGGAGCAGAUUCUGAGGACAGCACCCACAGGACUUCCUGGGGUCGGGGCAGCCAGGGCUCAAGGCUGACGCUGAGCCUUCAGCCUGAGAACGGGAAGGGUAGAGCUGGUAUCGCCCGUGACGGAGAAGGCCCCAGCUGGAGCGGGCCGGCGGGGAAACACGGGACUCAGCUUUGGCCCCGGCCUCGUCUGUCAUGUCCACAAGGCAGGAGCACCACGGAGGCCACGCUUCACACCUCUCCGCAGGCUACCAGGUGGCCUAGAACUUCUGUCUGCCCCAUUGCUGGCUACGUUCUGACUGACCACUGGGCAGGACGGUGUCUGCCAGGGCUCUCUGACUCUAACAUCACUCUUCCACUUUUAAUUAGUAAGUAUUUUGUGGGAAGCUAAGUUUGAAACUAGGAAAAAUACCCUGUUCCUUGCCAAAAAGUUUAUUCAUUUACUGAUGCCUAUCAGGAUGGACUCAAGAUUGUUCUAUUUUAUUCUGUGCAGGAUCCAUUACAAUCGUUCUCCGGACACUCAGAUUGUCCCUGAUUGAUGUGAAAGCCCUUCAAGGCUCUUGGGUCUUUUAGACAUGCACCCCAUCGUUCUUGGAGCACUUCCUUGCAUUCUGGCAGUACCAUACGUACAAAAUGAGCCUGGAACUUCCCCUCUCCUACCCCUGCAGUCAGCUUCUUCCCCAAGGAGCCCUGGUUCCUAUCAGUGGAAAGUUGUAUUUAGAAGCACAGAUCUAGGGCUAAGUAUAUUCACUGCUCCUGGGGUGUCAUGCUCCCAAUGGACAGGCAAGGAAUGCAAGUAUGCACUACGCCUACAUGUACAUAUACACACUAACAUGCACCCACCUUCACAUCUAGAUCUGGUGCAACAACUCUGUAUUGAAAACCGUGAGUCCACACUGAUAGUUCACUUGCAAGUCCAACUGCAAUGCAACAACCCUGUUCAUUUUCAUUUUUCUCCCUUUCCCUUAACUACAGAAUGGUUCCCCUCACCUUUAAUGGACCAACCCCCUGGAAAUGAUCUGACACCCCGCCCCCUGCGGAGGCGCCCUCCUGCUCAGCAGGACUCUCCUUCCAUUUCCUCCUUUUUGGUGGAGGGGGCAAGGCAAGGAAAGACGGUGGAGAGAAGGGAGGCAACCCCAAAUUCCCACAGACUGUGCACGAGCACCAACCCUGGAUUGUUUUGCAGAUGUGAUUGAAUCCACACAACAGCAUGACAGAGAAAGGGAUGCCAGCUCCAGGCACGUGAUGCAGGAGCCACCUGCCAGGAGAACCCUCAGACCCGCCACAACAGCGAUGGCAGCAGAACUGAUGAAAGCAGAAGGGGAGGUCAGGGCUCCUGAGCCUCCUCACAAGGAAACGAGGCACAGCCACCGUUUCACAGAAUACACUGCAAGGUAACGUCUAAGUGAUGUGUUCUGGUCUGUUGUGCAAACACCACCACUUUCUAGUUCCAGAACAUUCCAUCACCCCAAAAUAAAACCUUGUAUUCAUUAAGCAGCUGCUCCCCAUUUUGCCCUCCCCUCAGUCCCUGGUAACCAUCAAUAUGACACUGAUGGGUUUACCUAUUCUGGAUAUUUCUCAUAAAUGGAAUCCUACACUACAUGGCCUUUCAUGUCUGGCUUCUUUCACUUAGCAUGAUGUUUUCAAGGUUCCUACAUGCUGUAGUAUGUGUCAGUACCUUAUUCCUUUUUAUGGCUGAAUAAUAUCCCCGGGGACAUGAGAGUAUCCGUGAAUGUGUGCGUAAGUGCGGGCAGCCUUUCUCCCUUUCCCUCACCUCCUCCCCACCCCAGGCAAAAGAUGAAUAAUCUGAUACUAAUCGCAAAGAAACAAAUCCAAAUAACUGGCCUGUCAUCUUCAGAAGUAUCAAGGUAAGGGAAGUCAAGAAAAUACUGAAGGGUUUCAGUCUGAAGGCAACUAAAGGGACAUGACAACUACAAGCAGUGUGUGAUUCUGAGUGGGAUCUUUUUGCAACAAAGGACAUGAACGGGACAACUGGUAAAUCUGAAUGGGGCAGGAGUGGUACAGCAUCAGUUUCAUUAUCUUGAUGUUUGUAUGGUAGCUACACAGGAGAAUGCACUGUUUACAGGCAUUAUAUAAAAAAGUAUCCUGAGGAAAUGGAGAACCAGGUCAGCAACUUCUCAAACAGUUCUGGGGCAAAAAGGCUCUUUUUUGUUAUAUUUCUAACUUUUGUCUAAAUUCAGGACUACGCCAAAAAUUUUUCAAGAAUCCAAAGAAUCCUGGAAUAAUAAUCUCUCCAAUGUAGUUACAUCUGUGUGAUUUCAAAUUUUAGUCAAGCAAAAUAUGAUAGAAAGAAACUCACUGCUUCCCAUCUGGUUUGAUACCUCAAAAAAAAAAUUAAAGGGUACAUCAAUCAUAUAUCAGCAUAUAUAAGCAGAAAAAGAGCUAUCGGGAACCUAAAGAACCAUCUGAGUCCGUCUCCCUGCUCACAGCAGGUAGAUGUUCGAUUAACUAGAAGAGAUGUCUGUUCCCUAUUCCAAGACUGUCACAGCCUUCUCAGCAGACCAUUAAACAGCCAAGAGUUUUCUUUCUUAUGGCCCAGCAACUUCCCCAACCAUAAGCCCACUUCCUGGUUAAAACCUCUGAAGGUAAAAUUGUCAGCUCCUCAAACAAGCAAAUUUUAACAGGAGACAAUCAAUCCUCAUUUUUCCAUGUACAGUUGAUCCUUGAACAAUAUGGCUUAGAAAUGCACAGGCCCACUUACAAGUGAAUUUUUUUAAUAAAUAUAGUACAGUAAUAUAAAUGUAUUUUCUCUCCCUUAUGAUUUUCUUAAUAGUUUUCUUUUCUCUAGCUACUUUAUUGGGAGAAUACAGUAUAUAAUACAUAUAACAUAUAAAAUAUGUGUUAAUCAGCUGUUUAUGUCAUCAGUAAGACUUCCAGUCAAUAGUAAGCUAUUAGUAGUUAAGUUCUGGAUAAGUCAAAAAUUAUACACAAUUUCCAACUGCACAGGGCCAGCGUCCCUCACCCCCACGGUGUUCAAGAGUCAACUGGGUAUCUGUCUCUAUGUGUUUCUAAGGAUAGGGUUAAUAUCGAUAAAAGCAUUGUAAUACUUCAGGUGAAUUUUUUCCACAUUUAUGCCCAAAGGUGUGAAUUAAAUUUGAAGAAUUUAUGACAUCAAAAUUUGAAACAGAACAAAUGAAUUUUAAAA